UCCACGCCAGCAGCCCCACGCACGCGUAGCUACAGCAUCGUCAAUGCCCAGCGCCCUCGCCGGCCUUUGCCCGGCCUCGUCGCCAUCGCCGUCAUGCACAGCGCCGCGCUCGGCCGCACUUGCCCAACCACUUCUCCACUCCCCGCCUAUAAAAGGCGGCCCCAAGCUGCUCUCCCUCGCCAUCCCGAGCUUGCCGAACCGUCCAGCUCCACCGCUCAUCUCCUUCCCAGCUCCAACCUUCUUCUUGCUUCUCCUCUCUGUUCUUGCACAGAAGAACAAGCCGCCGGUCGACCUCUCUCUGGAGCUGUUCCCCCGCCAAGCCGACGGAGUGAUCGAGAAGGAGAACGAGCUUGAAGGCUAGCAGUGCGAGCCGGAGUACGAAGGCCAGUAUCGCGCGCAGGAGCCAGAAGCCCCAUACCGUGAGCUGGAGCUGCCCGAAAGCUUUGAAGACGGCAAGUCCAACCUAUUCCCACUUGAUCAUAUUUAUUCCAGUUUUCAAACACAACCCGUAGAAGCCUAAUAUUAUUUGCAUCCAGUUAAAUAUAUGCCUGAACUAUUUUACUGCUUGAUUUAGUUAUAAACCCUAUUGGAUAGCCACUCCUUGUUUAUCAUUACCUCGCUGAUGAUAUAUAUAACCUAGGAUUUAUCGCUAGACAUGAUGUGCUCUGUUUAUGGGAUCACCUUGAUAUUAGCUAAAUGCUUAGGAUAUGUUAUUCAACAUUUAUACUACUCACUUUACAAAUGCAAUUGUUUUCAAACCAGAAAAAUGUGUUGAUUGUGUUGUUGGUGUACAAAUGGGUUGGGAUUCUGGAAAAGUGUUUAUGAACAACUAAGUGUCAGUGAUUACCUUGAGAUGGGGCAGAUCAGGGUUCCUUGUGUGGAAUGCCUAGAAGUUUGGCUAGUGCCUUUGUGGUCGAGUAUGGAAGAUAUCCGCCUUGUCAUGUUUUAAGUACCGAGUUAUUGUAUCAUCUUGCCUAACCCAAUUUAUCGUACAACCACUCGACCCUUGUAUGUGGCAAGGGCUUAGUCUAAAUCUCACUAGCUAAUCUGUUAGUCGUCCGUAGGCAGGUGUGCAGCGAGAGGCUAAGGAGCGGGCGUGAGCAAGUGCAGGCUUAGUGACCUGGUUGUAGGCCUCGUUGGAAGGUCAGGAAUCCCUUAGUUUGCUCUCGUGGAUGACUAAUCAGGGUGAUGCUAUGGUGGGUAAUGGCUUUGAUGGAUCCGUACUGACACUAAGGUGAUCAUGUUGCGGUACCCUACUUGUGGAUAAAGUGUACAUCUCUGCAGAGUUAAGAUCUAUUCGAAUAGCUGUGUCCACGAUCGUGGACGAGUUAUGGCUUGGUCACUUUGACUAGUUUUGGGAAUUUGGGAGAAUCCAUUGGUGUGAGUUAAGCGUGUGUUGAUUUUAGAAACUCCAGCAAGUGUGCCGUGUGCUGCUGUGGACUGGGUAUCUGGUAGCAACUAAAAUUUGGAUCCUUUGUGUAGGAUCACCCCCACUCUUCAUAACUACCGUCUUUAUGGUAACCACUUGUUUUGCUAAAAUAAAUAAAUUACUAAGCAACCCUUGCAUGUGUACAAAAGAUGGCUUUAUGCAAAAAUAAAACCUCAGCCUAUUCCUUGAAUUAUCCUUAUGCAUGCAUUCUUAUACCCCCUCCGUAGGAUGGGGUUGGAUUUGCUGAGUACGUUUGUACUCACCCUUGUUCUAUUACAGAGGAAGAUCCAGACUUCAUCGCCGGUGGAGAUUUCGAGUAGUUCGUUGCAUCCGCACCCAACUUGCCUGUGGCAUUGGGCUAAGGAUGUUUCCGCUGCCGUGUAGUCCUGAAUGCUGUUGGAGGAUCUUUAUCUUCUUAAUGAGUAGCUUCAGUUUGUUCUGGUUGUUUCUUAUUUGGCUUUGGAUCGCUCGGCCUUUACCGAGGGAUUUGUAUCAAGACUGAAUCAUCUCAUGUAAUAAAUGUGUGCCAGCCUUCCUGGGACUGGUAUUUUU